rnacentral:siRNA from 1 species
AUUUCUCGGGACUUUGACGGUUGC